GAUCAUCACUAGGGGUGCCGCCAUCCUUUGGCGGCUGAGAUCACACCCUCCGAACCUGACGCGGUUGGCACCGCCGUAGGGAAGUGAGCCUGUCGUGAU
rfam:Candidatus Synechococcus spongiarum SP3 contig-70_667, whole genome shotgun sequence.